CCUAUGGGGUUGGAGAAGGUGAGUGUUUAACAUCACUACCGAAUGGCAGCCAACAGCAGCAAAAGCAUGCUCUGUCACAGGUAUCGAUUAGCACAUGCUACCAACAUUACACCAGGAAGUAAGUUCUCCCUCAAAAAGGCCUUUGUCCACUAGGCAGAGUCAAAUGAGUGUGGACUCAAGUGUACUUUAUCUUCACUCCCAGACCCUGACUCCUUUUCCCAUCUACUCUCUUGGAUCUUUACCAGGCAGCAGAAGGCUUCUCUGAGAAGGAAAUCCUCUCAACUCAAAGCAACUAAAGAAGAUGGUAUUAAUUGGUGGCAGGUUUUUAUGAGAGGCAGCCACAAGCUGGCUGUUGUGCCUAUCUAGAGAUCUUAGCUGUUAGGGAACAGCAGACACAGUAAGAGGAUCAGAAAGGGCCAAAGGAACAGCAGGAAUCUUCAGAAUCACUCUCUCCUCCCACACAGAGGCCUUUUUCCAGCUGAGACACCCUGAGCAACAACACUCACCCAUUUCAGAGUACUAAAUUUGGGAACAAUCUGCUGUUCCUGACUAUGAGAGGGGAACACAACUCUUCAGGCACAUGUCUCCUGCACUGGAAGAGCGUUACCAAGUGGACACCCACCUGAAACCACAUCCCAUCAGGAGGCUUGCCUUGGACUGAUGCAGACACCAUGUCCUGAUCACAGCAGGCACAAUUUCACUAUUGUCCAAGCAGGUCUCAAAACACCUGUGGCUCAGGUGACCUCUGUUCUCAGUCCCUCAACAGUAGCAAGCUCAGCACAUACCGAGUGCUCAAAAUGGACUAGAGAGUCGGUCGGUCAUUGGCAAAGUGCUCACCUAGCAGGCGCAGGGAUCAGAAUUCAUUCCUCAGAAUUCAUGUAAAUAAAGAAUUAAACCAUAGAUAGCAGCCCUGGAGAGCUGGCUCAGCAGUUAAACACUAAUAGCUGACCCACAAUGAUGUCUUAAAACCACCUAUAACCCCAGAUCCAAAGAUCUGACACCCUCUUUUAGCCUCCAUGGGCACUAGGCAUGAAUAUGGUAGUUUGAAAAGGUAUGACCCCAUGGAUUCCUGUGCUUAAAUGCCUGGCAUAGGGAUUGGCACUAUUAAGAGGUGUGGCCUUGUUAGAAGUGUGUCACUGCGGUGGUGGGGCUUUGAGGUCUUAAAUGCCCAAGCUCUGCCCAGUGUGAGACACCCUGUCUCCUCCUGGCUGCCUUCAGAUCAAGAUAUCGAACUGUUGGCUCUUCCUGCACCAUGUCUGCCUGAAUGAUGUCAUGCCUCCUGCUCUCAUAAUGGACUAAACCUCUGAAACUGUAGGCGAGCCCCAAUUAAAUGCUUGACUUUUAUAAGACCUGCCUAGGUCAUGAUGUCUCUUCACAGCAAUGGAAACACAAACUAAGAUAAAUGUGGUACAUAGACAUACAUGGGGACAAAACACUCAUUAAGUAAAAAUAAAGCUCAGUAUCUGGGAGGCAGAAACAGAUCUCUGAGUUUAAGGCCACCCUGUUCUAUAGUAAGACCCUAUCUCAACACUAACAACCAACCAAACAAAACACAAAAACUUACUACAGCAGUUGAGAGGAGAAUCAUCCUAAGUUUAAAGCCAGCCUGAGAUGCAGAAUAAAACGGUUUCUUCAAGUGUCAAACCCAGAGCUCCAAGCAUUCCAGGCAGACAUUCCAAAAAUUGAGUUAUACCCCUAGAUUAAAACCAUUUCUCGGGGCUGGGGAUUUAGCUCAGUGGUAGAGUGCUUACCUAGGAAGCGCAAGGUUCGGUCCCCAGCUCCGAAAAAAAAAAAAAAAACCAUUUCUCAGCUACAGUCUGCAGACAUACCCAUUUAACAUUUAUUUCUAAUAGGUUUGGCAGUAGGUAAAUGUGUGAUAAUUUAGGAGAAAAAACAAGACCUGUUUCUUAUUCUCUGGAAGAUCUUCUUCCAUUGGUUCUGGCUUGGCCUCCUUUUUAGGAGGGGGUGGAGGUGGGGGUGUUGCUGCCUCUUCCUCUUCAUCCAUACUGCCCAGAUCAACUCCAAGGAGGACACUGAGAGUAGUCAUGACCCGGGGAUCUUGGAGUUUCCUAGAUUGAUCAAAAGAAAGGGCUCUACAGUUAAGAAGGCAUGCUGUUCUUUUCAGAGACUCAAGUUCUGAUCCUAACACUCAUGCUUGGCAACUCCCAACCUCCUGAAACUCUAGCUCAAGGAGAUCCAACAACUCUGGUCUCCUUAGGCACCCAAACUCACAUGCACAUUCCCACAUAGACAAGCACAUAUAACUUAAAAACAAAAA